rnacentral:rRNA from 1 species
AAAGAGUUUGAUCCUGGCUCAGGAUUAACGCUGGCGGCGUGCCUAAUACAUGCAAGUCGAACGGAAACCUUCGGGUUUUAGUGGCGAACGGGUGAGUAACACGUAAGCAACCUACCCUAAAGACGAGGAUAACCAUUGGAAACAGUGGCUAAGACUGGAUAGGAAGAAAUAAGGCAUCUUAUUUCUUUUAAAAGACCUAGCAAUAGGUAUACUUUAGGAGGGGCUUGCGCCAUAUUAGUUAGUUGGUAGGGUAAUGGCCUACCAAGACGAUGAUGUGUAGCUGGACUGAGAGGUUGAACAGCCACAUUGGGACUGAGACACGGCCCAAACUCCUACGGGAGGCAGCAGUAAGGAAUUUUCGGCAAUGGAGGAAACUCUGACCGAGCAACGCCGCGUGAACGACGAAGUACUUUGGUAUGUAAAGUUCUUUUAUCAAGGAAGAAAAGCAAGUGGCGAACCAUUUGUUUGCCGGUACUUGAUGAAUAAGCCCCGGCUAAUUAUGUGCCAGCAGCCGCGGUAAGACAUAAGGGGCAAGUGUUAUCCGGAAUUAUUGGGCGUAAAGGGUGCGUAGGCGGUCUAGUAAGUCAGUGGUGUAAUGGCAACGCUCAACGUUGUCUGGCUAUUGAAACUGCUAAACUUGAGUUAGAUAGAGGCGAGUGGAAUUCCAUGUGUAGCGGUAAAAUGCGUAAAUAUAUGGAGGAACACCAGAGGCGUAGGCGGCUCGCUGGGUCUUAACUGACGCUGAGGCACGAAAGCGUGGGGAGCAAACAGGAUUAGAUACCCUGGUAGUCCACGCCGUAAACGAUGAGUACUAAGUGUCGGGUUAAACCGGUACUGAAGUUAACACAUUAAGUACUCCGCCUGAGUAGUACGUACGCAAGUAUGAAACUUAAAGGAAUUGACGGGACUCCGCACAAGCGGUGGAUCAUGUUGUUUAAUUCGAAGAUACCCGAAAAACCUUACCAGGUCUUGACAUGUUUUUGCGAAACGGUAGUAAUAUCGUAGAGGUUAUCAGAAACACAGGUGGUGCAUGGUUGUCGUCAGCUCGUGUCGUGAGAUGUUAGGUUAAGUCCUAAAACGAGCGAAACCCUUAUCGUUAGUUGCCAGCACGUUAUGGUGGGGACUUUAACGAGACUGCCAGUGAUAAACUGGAGGAAGGUGAGGAUCACGUCAAAUCAGCAUGCCCCUUAUGACCUGGGCUACAAACGUGAUACAAUGGCUGUUACAAAGGGUAGCUGAAACGUAAGUUCUUGGCCAAUCCCCAAAAACAGUCUCAGUCCGGAUUGAAGUCUGCAACUCGACUUCAUGAAGUUGGAAUCGCUAGUAAUCGCGAAUCAGCAUGUCGCGGUGAAUACGUUCUCGGGGUUUGUACACACCGCCCGUCAAACCACGAAAGUUGGCAAUACCCCAAAAUGGUAGCCUAACUCGUUUAUUCGAGAGGGCGCUGUCUAAGGUAGGGUCGAUGAUUGGGGUUAAGUCGUAACAAGGUAUCCCUACCGGAAGGUGGGGAUGGAUCACCUCCUUUCUAAGGAAACCAAUAAAAUCAAUCAUCUUCAGUUUUGAAAGACUUAGGAUAACUAAGUUUUUCUUCGUGACUUCACGAAGGGCCUAUAGCUCAGUUGGUUAGAGCACACGCCUGAUAAGCGUGAGGUCGGUGGUUCAAGUCCAUUUAGGCCCACCAGAGUUAUAGGUGUCGUAAGAACACAAAUUCUUUGAAAAUUAGGUAAAUAAUAGUUAUUUUUCCGGAACAUUAAAGGAAAUAAGAGCGCACAGUGGAUGCCUAGGCACCAAGAGCCGAUGAAGGACG